UCGAAGGGGGGUAACCCUCUACGAGAUAGCACCCUUGACCUUCAAAGUACCUUCUUGUUUCCUCGGCGGGCUAGCCCGCCAACGGGGACACCACAAAACCUUUCUGUAAUAGCAGUAUCUUCUGAAAAGUAAACAAAAAGUCA
rnacentral:misc_RNA from 1 species